rnacentral:rRNA from 1 species
GACGAACGCUGGCGGCGUGCCUAAUACAUGCAAGUAGGACGCACAGUCUAUACCGUAGCUUGCUACACCAUAGGCUGUGAGUUGCGAACGGGUGAGUAACGCGUAGGUAACCUGCCUAUUAGAGGGGGAUAACUAUUGGAAACGAUAGCUAAUACCGCAUAACAGUAUGUAACACAUGUUAGAUGCUUGAAAGAUGCAAUUGCAUCGCUAGUAGAUGGACCUGCGUUGUAUUAGCUAGUAGGUAGGGUAAUGGCCUACCUAGGCGACGAUACAUAGCCGACCUGGGAGGGUGAUCGGCCACACUGGGACUGAAACACGGCCCAGACUCCUACGGGAGGCAGCAGUAGGGAAUCUUCGGCAAUGGGGGGAACCCUGACCGAGCAACGCCGCGUGAGUGAAGAAGGUUUUCGGAUCGUAAAGCUCUGUUGUUAAGGAAGAACGAGUGUGAGAAUGGAAAGUUCAUACUGUGACGGUACUUAACCAGAAAGGGACGGCUAACUACGUG